GUUGUGAGAGUUGUGGAAAGGACAUACAUCUAAGAGGGAAAAACUAGUAUUAAAAUUAUGAGAAUUCGUUGUUAUAAAGUUGGCUGGCUGACGGUCACGCACAGACUGUCUUGACUACCCUAGUGUCCAGUUAAAAAUAAUUAACUAGUGAAUUUCCAGUUUUUAGCUGUGUGCUUCGUUGACUUUAUAUAAAAAAAGUCUCAUGUUUUACAACACUUUCACAAUUAUCACCUGCCUAAGAACGUUGCAAAAUUUCCUUUUAAUUUGCACAUUAAAAAACUGGACCUUAACACAUUCUCGAUUCUACCCUCAAGCUUUUUUGCCUAUAGGACGAUGGUAGUCACUGAGAAUUCUUCCAGCUAAGGGACCAUAGACCAUAGUUUAUGUUUGUCAGCCACCAAUGUGCUAUGUUAACCUGUGUUCAGGUUUAGAAUUGACUUAAAUGGUUGGUGUCUCUAAGCAUUACAAUGUUUCUGUGUGCUACUAAGAAUGUUUUUGAAAAUAUUAUUUUUAUCACUGGUAAAUAUCGUUAACAGUUGGAGCAAAGGCUUGAAACUUAUAAAUGUAUAUAUUUUCACAAAAGUACAUAAUCCCAAGCAUCCCUUCCUGAAUUAUUUUGAUGAUAUGGAAACAAGAUGCCAGUAAGUAAUUUUUCUUUGCUACACAGUGGGGUGAUUUUUGAAUGUCUUUUGAUCUGGCUUGGAGAUGGGGAAUCAGUUUAUAAGAUGCCAACCUUAAUAGGCAUAAACAUAAAAUCUUGGUUCUAGCCUUGUAUAUGGGUGGAACAUAAAUAUAUCCAGUAGUCUGGGUACCAGGUUUUAAACACAAUACUACUGCUGAGCACAUGAACUUCUUUCCCCAACAGUGAUGAACAGUGAUAUAACUUACCUGGUGUGUCCUUAAUCAUUGUUUAUCAGAACUUAAUUAACUACUUCCUUACUAGGUCUGCCCUUGUUUAAGGCAUAGCAUUUGUUCUUGUAUAGUUUCCAAUAUGCCCAUGCUCAAAAGGCAACACAAAUAGCCAUUUCUGGAUGCAGGAAAAAUAGUCUUUAUUCCUGCCGAGUUGAAAGGAGAGCUGCCUUGGCAAAUAAUUGCACGUUCUCCCUAAUGUGUCAGUGCUGCACUUCCAGAAUGGGCAGGUGCUGUGACAAUCUCUUUGUGGCAGUGCGGUGAUAUCCUAAGCCCAUGCUUUACUCUUUAUCCUUUGCUUUUGGGAUUUGUUGAUUUGUGGGUGGAGUGAGAAGAUUAAACCAAAACCUGAGAAACAAAUACUAACAUCAAAUGCUACCCAUUAUGCAAUAAGGGAGCACAAUAGAACUAAUAAUUUGAGGCAGUUUGUGCAUGACUUCUGCAUCUGUUGUGGGGGUUUCAGAUAGAUAGAUAAAUAAAUAAAUAAAUAAAUAAAUGGCUUCACUGUUAGCUGUCUCCGAGAAAUUAAGGUUUUCAGUCUAGUGUUUAUGGGCACACAGCCAAAGGCAUAUGUUUAAAGUGAAGAGAUGUAAGAGUGGAGGUGGUGAUGCUAAUUUUCUAAAUGAAAGGAUAAAUGAGACCCAAAACCCAUAUAAUAAAACCUGUGGUCCUUUUCACACAACCCCCACUCAGUUGAUGGAUGUUGUACAUAUGUGUGUUGUUUGCUUGUUAAUAGAAUACAGUACCUGUUCUAAAUUAUUGCAUUGAACCCGGAACUUCAUGCGAAGAACAACACAAGGUACCAAGAAUGAAAUAACACUGUGAAAGUGCCAUGGGAUAUUUGAGGGCUCUUCAUCCUUUAUCUCUCUCACAGAAGGCAGCUGAGGAAAGGGAGAGGCUAGAGGUUUGAGUUUAGCAAAGUGGAAGAGACAGUGAGAGGAAAAUUGUGGUUUUAAACAAUGGCAGAGAUUUGACUAGAGCAAGCAGCUGAGAAGGAUGUACUGAGGGGGGAAAGUGGAAGUUUAAAACAAGCUUCCAGUACACCAAGAAAGAAUUUGGGAAAGGCUCUGUUGUGGUAGCUUUGGGAUGUUAGCUUCCUUGUUGUACCUUUCCAAUCUAUUCUGAUCUCUCCCCCUAUGCAUGUUGUGUUUAUGUACAUAAAUGCGUACUUGAGUGUGCAUAGAUUAGUGACCUGGUAUGUGGUAUGGGAAGAAUUUUCCCACUUUUUUAAAAAAACUUUGGUAGUUAACUAAUACUGGAUACAUAUUUUCACUUAAACGUGCAGCUUCAGUGUUUGCUCUUUAAAGAUUAAGUGCACUUCAUUACAGCUGUCUUCCUUAAUACAGUGGAUGUUUUUUGUUUUAAUUGGAUUGCCAAACAAAUUGAACUAGUUUGAUUUACUGGGUCUGCUUAAAUAAGCACAGCAGGUUGCUUUGAAUUGCAGAGGUGUUCCAGUGUGGAAAAGUUCUUGUACCUAGUACUGUCUUCAGUUUGUUUAGGGAAGGUCAGGAGAUGAGUGACCUUUCCUGCUAGUGCCAUUUUUAUAGAGUGUAUGGGAUGUCAGACUGUGGCUCAUAUAGAAUUUCCAGAGUGCUUCAGAGAAGAGACAGAUUGCUUCUUGGAGCUUGUCAAGGUUUAUAGAUGGCAGCAAUGAAGAUGGAUUUGGGCACAUCUCAAUGCCACUCAUUCUAUCAAGUAGCACUAAUUAAAGCCAUUGUUGGCUAACACCCUGCCACCUGAUUUGGGAGUGUAAAAACGGUGUAUUGUGCUUUGUCAUAACAUGCUAGAUUAAUGGGUGGGCCUGUGAUUCCAUUUCCUCCUUUUACUUUUGAGAAGUUAUUAGUAAAGAGAUAGUAAAUUGAUUUUGGUGUCACAGAGGAUGUCUUGGACAAGUGUGUACUCUGAAAUGAUUUGAGGCACCUGUUUGUCUUGUAACUCCUCUAUGUGCUGCAUCUAAACUUUAAUACUGUGCCAAGUUGAGAUGAAGACAUGAUUUACAUGCCAGUUGCUAGGUUGUUCUCCCCCUACCCCUUGCCCCCUUUUCGUCAAUCCAUGCACUUUUAUUAAUUUACUGAACGAGACCUGUACCUGAGCAACCAUUUUCCUGGCGCCUGCCUGGGUAUUCAGAUCACGUUUUGAUGCUAUCUGUCAAAACAGGCUUGGUUUUAUAGAGUGUUUGUCUAUGAAAUGAAUCCACUCCCUCCUCCUCCUCCUCCUCCUCCCCCCUCCCCCCAAUCCCUGUAGUGCCUGGUGUUUUAUAAACCUGAGACUUAAUCCUGCUCCAAAUGAACUUUGCAAGAGCAGUAUCAGAGGUGAGCAGAAUGCAAAUGCAGGUUUUAACAGGCGGUUCUCUAAUUCCGCAUCGCUGCCACAGUGUGAAGAGGCAUCCUUGCAUAAGCUCCCUAUUUGAAUAGCAACAUCUUUUUAAUUCCCUUCAUGAAGGUUUGGCUAGAAGUGAUAGAAUCAUUCAUGAAGGGAGAACCAGCAAUAUUUCCUUUCUGAGAUUGUAUGACCACCGGGUGAAAAUAAGUGUGCAUUGUUGUUGUUGUUUAGUCGUUUAGUCGUGUCCGACUCUUUGUGACCCCAUGGACCAGAGCACGCCAGGCACUUCUGUCUUCCACUGCCUCCCGCAGUUUGGUCAGACUCAUGUUUGUAGCUUCGAGAACACCGUCCAACCAUCUCGCCCUCUGUCCUUGUGCCCUUCAUCUUUCCCAACAUCAGGGUCUUUUCCAGAGAGUCUUCUCCUCUCAUGAGGUGGCCAAAGUGUUGGAGUCUCAGCUUCAGGAUCUGUCCUUCCAGUGAGCACUCAGGGCUGAUUUCCUGAAGAAUGGAUACGUUUGAUCUUCUUGCAGUCCAUUGGACUCUCAAGAGUCUCCUCCAGCACCAUAAUUCAAAAGCAUCAAUUCUUCGGCGAUCAGCCUUCUUUGUGGUCCAGCUCUCACUUCCAUACAUCACUACUGGGAAAACCAUGGCUUUAACUAUACGGACCUUUGUUGGCAAGGUGAUGUCUCUGCUUUUUAAGAUACUGUCUAGGUUUGCCAUCGCCUUUCUUCCAAGGAGCAGGCGUCUCUUAAUUUCGUGACUGCUGUCACCAUCUGCAAUGAUCCUGGAGCCUAAGAAAGUAAAAUCUCUCACUGCCUCCAUUUCUUCCCCUUCUAUUUGCCAGGAGGUGAUGGGACCAGUGGCCAUGAUCUUCGUUUUUUGUUGCAUUAGUGGCAACAUAUUUUACUGACUGUGUAAAUGGAGAUCAGUUCCAGAUUACUGUACAAAGAAAAUGGGCUUUCUGUGGUUGGUUUUGUGGGGCAAGGAGAAGUGUCCUCCUCUUCUUUCUCCUCCCAGGGACUUAGGAUACAUCCUUUAUUCAAAGGCACAACUUUACCUAUAAUUGUUUUUGAUGUUACCUUUUUCUUUUCAGAGUUGGGACUUCCCUACAGACAAGGACAAAUACUACUCUUGAAGCCCCCAAACCUGCUAUUUAUACCAAAUGGAGUCAGGAAACUGAAUGGCAAAGCCCAAUCUGGUCAAUUUAUGUGGUGGGCAGUAGUGGAUUGAAGAUAGCACGAUUUGGAGCCAAUUAAAAUGCUGGUACCAAACUGUAUUAAAAGACAAAAUUGUGUACUGAAAAAAAUUAAUCUAUCAUUUAAAAAAGUUGAUGAACAAAAUCAAAGUAUGUUAUUAUUUAAAAAAGAAACCUUACCCAAAUUAAUAACUUUUGUGUCCCUGCGUAACUUGUCAGUUGAGCAUAAAGGAAGAUGGUAAUCAGCUGAAAUAUUGGAAGGAAAUUAAUAUGGACUAGUGGUCCACAUAGAGUUCCAAAUGAGUAAAGUUAUUUAGAAGAACCAUAACACCAAUAGUAGAGCACCUCCUUUGCAUGCAAAAGUGUCAAAGUUCAGUCCAUGGAAGAAUAUCCAGGUAGCCCUGCCUGAGCUGUUGUAACACAGUCUUGACAAUGCCAUACAUGAACUGAUGGCCUCUCUUGUUAUAAAGCAGUUUCCUAGGUUCAGUGGCUAGUAGCAGCGCCUCACAGUUCUUCACACAAGUGCUGGAAAUUCCUUCACAGCCUUGACACUGUUGUCAACAGAAAUUAGCUAUCAGAAAUGAUAGAGAGAGAAACAGAAACGGUGCCAUCAAAUCAGUGCAGCAAACAGAUUUACAUCCUGAUUUUUAUUAUAAUCAUUUCUUUUUGCAUUUUAUAAUAUAGAAUAUUACUUAAUGCAUAUUUCUUUAGGGAGAGGGGUGAUCUGAGUAAAAUACGCCUUUGAAGUGAAUUGACUAAUGCAUUAUGGGUUCUGCAGCUUCAUCUGAUACUUAGGGCAGGUCACACACUCUGGGCUAGCAAUAAAAUCCCAGUGUUGCUGAAGCUACUGCUAAUGAAUUAAUGUGUUUCAGUUGUACUGCCCAUCAUCAACCCAUCAGAACAGCUGACUGGACAGCAUCUAAAAAGGGGAUGAAGGAGGGUGGUGGCGUGGAAGAAGUUUUGGCAGGGCCAAAUUUAUAUGAACCCUCAUUGGUCUUUGGGCAUAAGCCUGCUGGCAUGAAGGCAAUCCUCAAAAUAGACUUACCUAGACUCUUUCAAGGAUCCACCUCUCAACAGGUACAGCACUGGAAGCAAUUUGACCCAUCCUUUGCCUUCAGUGCCAGCUUUGGGGCUAGUGGGCUACCUUCAUUGUAAGCCCCAAAGGACAUGUCUGAUACCUCCAACAACCCUGUAGGGGUUCCCCCCCCCCAUGGGCAAGAGGGAAAGAGAGGUGCCAAGUGGUUACAUCUGAGAAGGCUCAGUCAACCAAAGGUGAACUCACCAUGGCAGAAUCCCUGUCCAAGAAGUGGAAGGUGACAGGAUAAAAACUGAAAAGGAGAGCAGCUUCAAAGAUCUCAUUUUAUGUCCCCUCUUUUAAUAGCCCUUGCUGUCUUCAUGAUGUAGUGCUGGGUGUUUGGGGAGACGGGUGCCGUUCUUUGUGUGCUUGGCUGUUGUGACCUGUUCGCUUUCAGCACCUCCUGUGCUUCUAGCUUAAAUGCACUAAAGUUGCAAAUCAAACAUUCAUUGCCUAUGGAGGAGCACCACAAGCCAGGAUCAGAUGGCAUAGAGCUAAAAAUGGUUGGCGGAGCGCCUGUCUGACCUUGGGCCCCUGCUCUCUAACUAGCAGCAGGCUUCCCUGUCUGCUACGUUGGCCUUUUGUGCCAAGAACAAUAUACUAUUAUGUGUUUUUCCCCAUUUUUGUAAUACUCAGCUUUUCUUGUGUGUUUGCUUGUGAUUUUUACCCCUUCCUAGAGGGAAAAAAUCUUGCCCUUGAAGCUUCUGUGAAUCAUGCUUGCAGCCUGGCAUUCUGAUGGUUUCUGAGCUUUUGUGAAGAUUUUAAAAUAAAAUUAGAUAUAAUAGAAUUUUAACUUCUCUCAUAUGUGCGUCUGUGUGUGUGUUCAUGGGGAAAGUACAGUGACUUGGGUCAAAUCUGCUGCCACUGGGAGGGCUUCAAGAGGAAGGGGGAACACUUAUAGAGGCAAGAUAUUUAUUUCAGUCAUAAUAUCACCCAGCCUGUGAUCUCUUCUCUGUUUUUUUUGUGGAGGUGGAGGACUUCAACAAGUUUUUAUGUAUGGCCAAAAAUACAGCAUUGAAAGUGCUAAACUAGCAUCAACCUUUAGCCCUGCUUUCUAAGAAGAAAGAGUCCUAAAUCUUUGUGAGGAUAUUGAUGCUUUGCAAGGAUGCAUUCCUGAAAAGCAGGAUAAAAACAAAAGCAAAACCCCAUCAAGUAAAUACAUCUCUGCAUGGAGGCAUCGGCUGAACUUCCUUUUUUUUUUUUUAAUGCUGAGGCUUCCACAGUGGCUCUUCUUCCUGUGGCUAGCCUGCAAGCUUCUCCUAGUGUUCACCAUCUGCAGUAAGAUUUAUUUAUUUAUUCCUGCUUCCUGCGGUGGUUCUGGAGUUGGGAAAUGCUUUCCCAUGAGAAAUCUGUAUGUAUGUGCUGUUUUUCUUUCUUGGUCUCCUUUCAUGGAUAAGUGAAAACACUUUUUGGGGGGAGAGAAAAAAAUUGCCCAGCAUUUGGGCAUGAGCUGAGAUUUCACCAUUUAUUUAUAUUUUUUUGUUAUUUUUUAUAGUAGUUGUAUGGAUUGGUUUGUGUAAAAUGUAAACCACCUUGUGGUGUUUUGUGUUCUUUCUCAUUGAAAGGUGUGUUCUCUCUUUCUCUUUAUAUAAAUGUGCCCCCUGAAACAGCUUACCAUGCGAAAAACACAUAUGCAUAGCAGUAAAAAAAAAAAUCCAGCUAUAAAAAUAGGAAAGGAAACAAGCAAGUUGUAACUCUGCAUGUUAUGAACAGAGAAAGCCACCUUAUAUUGAGUCAGACCAUUGGUCCCUCUAUCUCAGCAUUGUCUACCCUGGCUAGUGGUUGCUCUCUUACAGCCCUUCCUAGAAAUGCUGGGAUUGAACCUGGGCCUUCUGCAUGCAGAAGAGAUCCUGAAUGGCCAUUCCCUUACCUGAACAUAACAGCUGCCUGGGUACAGUAAUGCACCAUCUAAAUGUUGAAAGCCAUCCUGAAAAUGAAGGUAUUAACAGUCCAUCUG
rnacentral:lncRNA from 1 species